CAUUGUUGGUUUACCGUKAAAUUAKCCGGCCUAGGAAAGGGGGGGUUUGCAURGAGGCYCCCCUCGGCACCUGUCUUUUUUUAAAAGUUUUUGGGUUCUGGGGGGAGUAGGGGSGCAAGGCUGAAACUAAAGGAAUGACGAAAGGGCACCCCCCRGAGGC
rnacentral:rRNA from 1 species